AUUGAACGCUGGCGGCAUGCCUUACACAUGCAAGUCGAACGGUAACAGGUCUUCGGAUGCUGUCGAGUGGCGAACGGGUGAGUAAUACAUCGGAACGUGCCUAGUAGUGGGGGAUAACUACUCGAAAGAGUGGCUAAUACCGCAUGAGAUCUACGGAUGAAAGCAGGGGAUCGUAAGACCUUGUGCUACUAGAGCGGCGGAUGGCAGAUUAGGUAGUUGGUGGGAUAAAAGCUUACCAAGCCGACGAUCUGUAGCUGGUCUGAGAGGACGAUCAGCCACACUGGGACUGAGACACGGCCCAGACUCCUACGGGAGGCAGCAGUGGGGAAUUUUGGACAAUGGGCGAAAGCCUGAUCCAGCAAUGCCGCGUGCAGGAUGAAGGCCUUCGGGUUGUAAACUGCUUUUGUACGGAACGAAAAGCCCCGGGUUAAUACCCUGGGGUCAUGACGGUACCGUAAGAAUAAGCACCGGCUAACUACGUGCCAGCCGCCGCGGUAA
rnacentral:rRNA from 1 species